GACGAACGCUGGCGGCGUGCUUAACACAUGCAAGUCGAACGCUGAAGACCUGGCUUUUGUUGGGUUGGAUGAGUGGCGAACGGGUGAGUAACACGUGAGUAACCUGCCCUCUUCUUUGGGAUAACGCCCGGAAACGGGUGCUAAUACUGGAUAUUCACUGAUCUUCGCAUGGGGGUUGGUGGAAAGGUUUGUUCUGGUGGGGGAUGGGCUCGCGGCCUAUCAGCUUGUUGGUGGGGUGAUGGCCUACCAAGGCUUUGACGGGUAGCCGGCCUGAGAGGGUGACCGGUCACAUUGGGACUGAGAUACGGCCCAGACUCCUACGGGAGGCAGCAGUGGGGAAUAUUGCACAAUGGGCGAAAGCCUGAUGCAGCGACGCCGCGUGAGGGAUGGAGGCCUUCGGGUUGUAAACCUCUUUCGCUCAUGGUCAAGCCGCAACUGUGGGUUGUGGUGAGGGUCGUGGGUAAAGAAGCGCCGGCUAACUACGUG
rnacentral:rRNA from 1 species